UACGUAGGGGGCAAGCGUUGUCCGGAUUUAUUGGGCGUAAAGAGCGUGUAGGCGGCCAUACAGGUCCGUUGUGAAAACUCGAGGCUCAACCUCGAGACGUCGAUGGAAACCGUAUGGCUAGAGUCCGGAAGAGGAGAGUGGAAUUCCUGGUGUAGCGGUGAAAUGCGCAGAUAUCAGGAGGAACACCAAUGGUGAAGGCAGCUCGCUGGAACGGUACUGACGCUGAGGCGCGAAAGCGUGGGGAGCGAACAGG
rnacentral:rRNA from 1 species